GGCCAGACUCCUACGGGAGGCAGCAGUGGGGAAUAUUGCACAAUGGGGGAAACCCUGAUGCAGCGACGCCGCGUGAGUGAAGAAGUAUUUCGGUAUGUAAAGCUCUAUCAGCAGGGAAGAAAAACCGACCAUAGGGUCGCUAGACGGUACCUGAUUAAGAAGCCCCGGCUAACUACGUGCCAGCAGCCGCGGUAAUACGUAGGGGGCAAGCGUUAUCCGGAUUUACUGGGUGUAAAGGGAGCGUAGACGGCAGCGCAAGUCUGAAGUGAAAUGCCGGGGCUUAACCCCGGAACUGCUUUGGAACUGCGCGGCUGGAGUGCAGGAGGGGCAGGCGGAAUUCCUGGUGUAGCGGUGAAAUGCGUAGAUAUUAGGAGGAACACCGGUGGCGAAGGCGGCCUGCUGGACUGUGACUGACGUUGAGGCCCGAAGGCGUGGGGAGCAAACAGGAUUAGAUACCCUUGUA
rnacentral:rRNA from 1 species